AGAGUUUGAUCAUGGCUCAGAGUGAACGCUGGCGGCAUGCCUAACACAUGCAAGUCGAACGGUAACAGGCCCGCAAGGGUGCUGACGAGUGGCGGACGGGUGAGGAAUACAUCGGAAUUUGCCCAGUCGUGGGGGAUAACGUAGGGAAACUUACGCUAAUACCGCAUACGACCGAGAGGUGAAAGCGGGGGAUCAGCAAUGACCUCGCGCGAGCGGAUGAGCCGAUGUCGGAUUAGCUAGUUGGUAGGGUAAAGGCCUACCAAGGCGACGAUCCGUAGCUGGUCUGAGAGGAUGAUCAGCCACACUGGGACUGAGACACGGCCCAGACUCCUACGGGAGGCAGCAGUGGGGAAUAUUGGACAAUGGGGGCAACCCUGAUCCAGCAAUGCCGCGUGUGUGAAGAAGGCCUUCGGGUUGUAAAGCACUUUUAUCCGGAACGAAACGCGCUUGGUGAAUAGCCAGGUGAACUGACGGUACCGGAGGAAUAAGCACCGGCUAACUUCGUGCCAGCAGCCGCGGUAAUACGAAGGGUGCAAGCGUUACUCGGAAUUACUGGGCGUAAAGCGUGCGUAGGUGGUUUGUUAAGUCCGUUGUGAAAGCCCUGGGCUCAACCUGGGAAUGGCAGUGGAUACUGGCGAGCUAGAGUGCGGUAGAGGGUAGUGGAAUUCCCGGUGUAGCAGUGAAAUGCGUAGAGAUCGGGAGGAACACCAGUGGCGAAGGCGGCUACCUGGACCAGCACUGACACUGAGGCACGAAAGCGUGGGGAGCAAACAGGAUUAGAUACCCUAGUAGUCC
rnacentral:rRNA from 1 species